GAAAUCACAUGAGCCAUGCGUAAUUGUUGGUGAUUGUGAUAACGUAAGGGAAAAAAAUGAUAUUACCUUACUAUUAGUGUUGUCCAAAACUGGUGCCAGAAGACUCGGUAAGGCCAGAGACGCAAACGUUAGUCGUCCUAAUCAGGCGUAAAGGGUAUGUAGGCUGCUUUAAAAGUUUUAUUUAUAAAUAGCUCUGUAACCGUAAUAUUUAAAUGUUUAUUAAAAUAAAUAACAUUAAAAUAUACGUGUCACAGUAUAAAAUAAGAUGAAUUAAAGCUAGAAUCAAAUUGGGGAUAAACCGAAUAAUACUUAGAGUAGGGAUUAUAUCCGUAGAUACUAAGGGGAAUACUAAAGGUGAAAGCUUUUUAUCUACUAAUGAUUGACGCUGAGAAACGAAGGUGAGAACAGGAAAUAGGAUUAGAUACCCAGAUACCUCUCACUGUCAACGAUGAAUGGUGGUUGUUAGUUUUAAUAAAAACUGGUAACGAUGUUAACACGAUAACCAUUCCGCCUUGCGAGUACGGUUGCAAAACUGAAACCAAAAAAAUUAGUCGGUCU
rnacentral:rRNA from 1 species